UUCGUAGGCGGCCUUGCAGGUGGGGUGUGAAAUCCCCCGGCUCAACCGGGGAACUGCGCUCCAAACCGCAAGGCUCGAGGGAGAUAGAGGUGAGCGGAACUCACGGUGGAGCGGUGAAAUGCGUUGAUAUCGUGAGGAACACCGGUGGCGAAAGCGGCUCACUGGGUCUUUUCUGACGCUGAGGAACGAAAGCUAGGGGAGCGAACG
rnacentral:rRNA from 1 species